CUAUCCAAGAUGGGUGUCAUAUUGGGUA
rnacentral:piRNA from 1 species